GGGGGAGGGGGACUGCCUUUCCCUGGCGCUGCGUGUGAUCAGUGAUUUCUCUAGAGAGUCUGCUUGGUGACCACCAGGCCAUCACCUUGCGGCUGCCUGAUGUUUACUGGUGGUGGGGAACCGUCUCGGGCCCCGCUCCACACGUGUGACUGAGAGGGACACCUGACAGGAUUGAACGCGUGGCAGAUCAUCCGAUGAGAUGGAGUGUCUGGUGGAAGGAACAUCUGACAGCCCCGAGCGUGUGGCAGAGGGAACAUCUAAGCAGACUGCAGCGAUUUCAGAAGGAACGGCUAAGAACAUUGCAUGGUCAGCAGGAGGAAACCUUACGGUAUGGUGGUUGGAGGGGGGCUGGGGGGCAAGGGAACCCAUGAGAAGACUGCGGGAUCAGCAGUUGGAUGCCCUAGGGAGAUUGCAAGGCCUGCCCAAGAGACAUCUGGGUAGAGGAAGUAUUGGGCCCAUGGUGCGCGAGACAAAACUGAGUGGUUGUCAGGGGAAGAAGUGGACGCAACUGGCUGUUUGGCAGAAGGAACCCUCAGGUAGAUUGCACGUUUGGCAGAAGGCCCAAGUGCGAAGAUGAGAUGGUAGACAGCAGAAACCCUUUAGCAGGUCGCACGGUGGGCAGAAGGAACCUCUGAGCAGAUUCCACGGUGGGCAGACGGAAUGCCUAGGAAGAGUGCGUGGCUUGCAAAGGAAGCAUCUGGAAAGAGGGAACAUCUGGGAGAGAAAACAUCCACCAAGAUGGAGCGUUUGGCGAAGAGCCAUGUGACCGGAUCCCUGGUUUGGCAGAGGAGACAUGCAAGAAGACGGAACGUUUUGUCUGAACAGACAUCUGGCAGGGUGGAACGGAGAGAACAGGUAUGGUGGAGAGAAAGUCUGAGAAGGUCGCAGCAUUCACAGGAGCAUCGGGAAAAGAUUUCCUGUUUGCCCGAAGGAAUGGCAAGUUCCAAAGAAGACCCAUGUGACUGGAUCCCUGGUUUGGUAGAGGAGACAUGCGAGAGGACAGAACGUUUUGGCCGAGUAGACAUCUGGCAGGGUGGAACGGAGAGAACAGGUGUGCACAGAGAACAUCUGAGAAGUUUGCAGGAUUCCCAGAAGGAGCAUCAGGAGAAGAUUUCCUGUUUGCCCAAAGGAAUGGCAAGUUCCAAAGAUCAGAGGUUCAUGUGAACUCUGUCGGGUUCAGGAGCAGCUCAGUGUUGCUGUUGGCAAGAGUGUGGUAUGGGAGUGGUUGGGCGUGGCUUGAAUAUCUAGAAAAGGUGAGCUGAGGGUAGAUUUUUGAACAGUCCAGAGUAGGAGCGGUAGAGGAUAUAUCCU
rnacentral:lncRNA from 1 species